rnacentral:rRNA from 1 species
AUUGAACGCUGGCGGCAUGCCUUACACAUGCAAGUCGAACGGCAGCACGGGUGCUUGCUCCUGGUGGCGAGUGGCGAACGGGUGAGUAAUACAUCGGAACAUGUCCUGUAGUGGGGGAUAGCCCGGCGAAAGCCGGAUUAAUACCGCAUACGAUCUACGGAUGAAAGCGGGGGACCGUCGGGCCUCGCGCUAUAGGGUUGGCCGAUGGCUGAUUAGCUAGUUGGUGGGGUAAAGGCCUACCAAGGCGACGAUCAGUAGCUGGUCUGAGAGGACGACCAGCCACACUGGGACUGAGACACGGCCCAGACUCCUACGGGAGGCAGCAGUGGGGAAUUUUGGACAAUGGGCGAAAGCCUGAUCCAGCAAUGCCGCGUGUGUGAAGAAGGCCUUCGGGUUGUAAAGCACUUUUGUCCGGAAAGAAAUCCUUGGCCCUAAUACGGUCGGGGGAUGACGGUACCGGAAGAAUAAGCACCGGCUAACUACGUG